ensembl:lncRNA uncharacterized LOC109308599
CUUUUAUAUGAUUUCUAAACUAUUUCUUUUGGCAGAAAAAUUGAUGUUAUGCUGUACUUAAAUGUUCCAAUAGUGUUUGUUUUGUCGAUGCAUCAGUAUAUAAGUGCAGCAAUAACUCAGGAUGAGCCAAGAUACACAUGCUCUUACAUAACUGUUCUUUGCAUUAUCAUAACACUAACAUUUCAAUAGCAGUUUUGUUUUUAAUAAAAAUAAGCUUGGAUUUUGUGUUUCAGGGAAAGCAACAAAAGGCAACAGAAAACUUCAAGUCAUGCAAGAAAAGAAGAAAAAGAAAAUGAAAACAAAAGCCAGUUCACUUCCAGACAUCUCCAUUCUUAAAACGUUCAUGAAAACCUAUGAAAGGCAUUGUGCCCUUUCCCAAAGCUCUGUCAGUGUCACAAUCAAACAGAGUUUAAAAAGAUGCCUAGGGAAUGAAAUAGCUCUUACUAAGUUUGUGCUUACAAGCUCUGAGAACUCAAAAGGAGAUGUGCAGCCAGUCUCCCUCACUCCCUUACUAAGGACAAUUAGAGAUGAACGUUAUAUGUUGGGAAAGGAACUUUGUGUCUGGGGAAUACAGCUAAGCAAUCAAGAUAUUGCAAACCUUGCACUGCUUUUGGAGCAGGAUGGAUGUACCACCUACCCUUUCUGUAGCCUAGAAAUCAUACAUACUGUAAUAGAUGCAUGGUCUGUGGAACGACUUGGAGCAGCUUUGCCUGUCAGCAACUUGAGCUCUAUUGUACUGGAUUAUACUAAGUUUGGAGAUAAAAGAAUCAAUGGACUUGUUUCUGGCUUAAAGGGCAACAGAAAACUUUUAACUCUCAGCCUAUGCUACUGCAAUUUGGGACCUGAAAGUGGGACAGAGUUAGGCCCCAUUGUGGCCCAAACUGCCAUUUGCAAUCUGUAUCUGAAUGGUAACAACUUGCAAUGCUUGGGUGCCCUUGAACUCAUCAAGCCAAUAGCUGUGUAUGCGAACAAUCUUGCAAGAGAUAAGGAAACAAAUACCAUGAAAUUCAGCAAUGCUACUGGACAUCAGAUGCAUGAAGGAUCUAAAAAAAGAAAAAAGAAUCCAGAAAUUGGUUCAUGGUUAGUUAAAUUACGUUUGGCUGACAAUGGCAUAGAUGGAAGAGGAAAAGGAGGACAAAAUAUGGUCUUGGAGUUCACGCAGUUUUUAAUUUACCUAAUCAAGUACUCUGAACACUUAAUGGAACUAGACCUGGAUGGCAAUGCUAUUGGAGAACUUUGUUCAGCUGACGUAAAGGAUGCUCUUAAGGAGAGACUAAAUGCAAAGAUGCCCAACUUAACCAUUAAGGUUACAUACCAGAUUUCCUCAGAAACUUUUGGAUCUAUUUUCAAGAAUGGCAAGAAGUCCAAGUCAACUAGAAAGAAAAAGAAAAAGACAACAAAGUGAUUGUUAAGACUACAUUUUCCUGCAGAUGGGACUGUGUACAAAAAAAAAUAAUAUACUUCAGCAGAUUAUUUCUUAACAUGGCUCUCUGCCUUUCUAAAUACUACAGUUUUUGUGUGUAAUUUUUUUCAAUUUACUCCAUCGUAUAGGAAUAAAAUACAAAACAUUAUUGUAUGAAACA